GGUCCGAUGCCACGUCGCCUAGAGCUUCAACAGCGUUGAUCGGCGAUGCUACGAUUGGACCGAAAGCGAUUCCAUGUUUCGCACCUUGAUAGGAACCUGUGGAUCUGGUUCUUACACCGUUGGUCCACGGAGCCGUUUUCUGCGAUUACAUUU